UGGCGGCGUGCCUAACACAUGCAAGUCGAGCGAGGAGAUCCUUCGGGAUGAUCCUAGCGGCGGACGGGUGAGUAACACGUGGGCAACCUGCCUCAUAGAGAGGAAUAGCCUUCCGAAAGGGAGAUUAAUACCUCAUAACAUUGCAGUUUCGCAUGGAACAGCAAUUAAAGGAGUAAUCCGCUAUGAGAUGGGCCCGCGGCGCAUUAGCUAGUUGGUGAGGUAACGGCUCACCAAGGCGACGAUGCGUAGCCGACCUGAGAGGGUGAUCGGCCACAUUGGGACUGAGACACGGCCCAGACUCCUACGGGAGGCAGCAGUGGGGAAUAUUGCACAAUGGGGGAAACCCUGAUGCAGCCAACGCCGCGUGAGUGAUGACGGCCUUCGGGUUGUAAAGCUCUGUCUUCAGGGACGAUAAUGACGGUACCUGAGGAGGAAGCCACGGCUAACUACGUGCCAGCAGCUGC
rnacentral:rRNA from 1 species